rnacentral:rRNA from 1 species
ACGGGAGGCAGCAGUGGGGAAUUUUGCGCAAUGGGGGCAACCCUGACGCAGCAACGCCGCGUGCGGGACGAAGGCCUUCGGGCUGUAAACCGCUUUCAGCAGGGAAGACAUCGACGGUACCUGCAGAAGAAGCUCCGGCUAAAUACGUGCCAGCAGCCGCGGUAAUACGUAUGGAGCGAGCGUUAUCCGGAUUCAUUGGGCGUAAAGCGCGCGUAGGCGGCCGCCUAAGCGGAACCUCUAACCUUGGGGCUCAACCUCAAGCCGGGUUCCGAACUGGGCGGCUCGAGUCCGGUAGGGGCAGGCGGAAUUCCCGGUGUAGCGGUGGAAUGCGCAGAUAUCGGGAGGAACACCGAUGGCGAAGGCAGCCUGCUGGGCCGCGACUGACGCUGAGGCGCGAAAGUGUGGGGAGCAAACAGGAUUAGAUACCCUGGUA